rnacentral:rRNA from 1 species
UAGGGAAUCUUCGGCAAUGGGGGGAACCCUGACCGAGCAACGCCGCGUGAGUGAAGAAGGUUUUCGGAUCGUAAAGCUCUGUUGUUAAGGAAGAACGAGUGUGAGAAUGGAAAGUUCAUACUGUGACGGUACUUAACCAGAAAGGGACGGCUAACUACGUGCCAGCAGCCGCGGUAAUACGUAGGUUCCGAGCGUUGUCCGGAUUUAUUGGGCGUAAAGCGAGCGCAGGCGGUUAGAAAAGUCUGAAGUGAAAGGCAGUGGCUCAACCAUUGUAGGCUUUGGAAACUGUUUAACUUGAGUGCAGAAGGGGAGAGUGGAAUUCCAUGUGUAGCGGUGAAAUGCGUAGAUAUAUGGAGGAACACCGGUGGCGAAAGCGGCUCUCUGGUCUGUAACUGACGCUGAGGCUCGAAAGCGUGGGGAGCGAACAGG